UACGAAGGGGGCUAGCGUUGUUCGGAAUUACUGGGCGUAAAGCGCACGUAGGCGGAUGUUUAAGUUAGGGGUGAAAUCCCAGGGCUCAACCCUGGAACUGCCUCUAAUACUGGGCAUCUAGAGUCCGAGAGAGGUGAGUGGAAUUCCGAGUGUAGAGGUGAAAUUCGUAGAUAUUGGGAAGAACACCGGUGGCGAAGGCGGCUAUCUGGACCGACAUUGACGCUGAGGCGCGAAAGCGUGGGGAGCAAACAGG
rnacentral:rRNA from 1 species